rnacentral:rRNA from 1 species
GUGAGGAAUAUGGCGCAAUGGAGGCAACUCUGACGCAGCCAUGCCGCGUGCAGGAAGAAGGCGCUACGCGUUGUAAACUGCUUUUAACCGGGAAGAAACCCCAGGACGUGUCCUGGGUUGACGGUACCGGAGGAAUAAGCACCGGCUAACUUCGUGCCAGCAGCCGCGGUAAUACGAAGGGUGCAAGCGUUAUCCGGAUUCAUUGGGUUUAACGGGUGCGUAGGCGGAGCGUUAAGUCAGUGGUGAAAUCCUGCAGCUUAACUGUAGACUUGCCAUUGAUACUGGCGCUCUUGAGUGCGCUUGAAGUGGGCGGAAUGUGCCGUGUAGCGGUGAAAUGCUUAGAUAUGGCACAGAACACCAAUUGCGAAGGCAGCUCACUAAGGCGAUACUGAAGCUGAGGCACGAAAGCGUGGGGAUCGAACAGGAUUAGAAACCCUUGUAGUCC